rnacentral:lncRNA from 1 species
CAAGACAAUGCAAUCCUCAUGACAGCAAAUCCAUCAAUAACAUGUAGUGCCUCUACACUGUAGUGCUUAAUUUCUGGUCUGUUUCUUUCUUCCUGUCUUUUACAUGGGCUAAUUUGCUAGUGUUUGCUUUAACAGUUUUCUGCAGGACUUACCAGCAGUGGAUUAGAAACCAGAUAAUAGGACAUACAGCACUGGCUCCCUUCUUGUAGUAUCCAGUGGCUGCUCUAUACUUACAAGACCAGUUUCUUCUUUUUCCAGUAAGAAAGUAAUUGCAGGCGUGUUAUGAUUUUCUUCCCUCUCACAACAAGCAAACAUAGUUUUCUCUCAUUGUGUACUCCAGAACUUGAGUCAUUUGAGAAGCAGCAAGCAGAGCUCUGCACUGGUUUGAGGAGGAAGAGGUACUGCUCCUUCCUAAGCAGCCCUGGCCUCAUCUGGAAUGAUGAUCUGGAAUGCAGUGGGAUUAGCCAACACUCACUGAUUUAAUAUCAGAUCAGCACCUUUUUCUUAAACAGCCCUGGUAUUCCAGAAAUCUUCACACUCUGCCUUUAUCUCACCAAAAUUUGCCAAAGAAAGAGUGCCCUCUGUAUUGCCUGAACUCACACCCUGAGGAAUUUAAUACCUGCACCUGUGUGAGCCAGUUCUCGUCUUGUGAUGGGAUAAUUUUUGUAUCUGGUACUGUUUAUUCACAUCCAUUGUGAAUUAACAGUAAUUCCCACUUAUUUGUUGGGAAGAGCUUCUCUGAUAAGAAAGAAGAGUAGUUCGAAAAAAUAAGAAGAAAUCGCAAUAAUUGAUGGGAAGAGAGCUCACAGUUGGUCCUGCAGCAGUAGGAGAUAUUCCUGUUUUUCUCUAGAGAUUAGCAUCAGCCUCAGGCAAAGUCCAUUUUCCUUUGUCUUACAAACACCAUUCGACUAUAACAUUGUACCUGCGGUGAAGCUUUUAAGGCACCUAUGGCACAAUAGUUAAAGCAGCUCACUGGAAGCCUGGGGAUGGUGACUGUACUUAAAAUUCAGUAGGGAGUCUGCAUAAGAAAGAGCAUCGACCUUCUUGGCAGCCCAUACUGAUCAGUGGCUGGGCUGCUGUGUUGCAUCCGCUGGGAUUUUUUCAGUGUAUGGGGGCAAAGUACUGGGAAUCAUGGCAGGAGUGGAUGCUAUGGUUGUCUAGGAGGUUUUUUUACCUCAGUCAUGGAAAAGUCAUGUUUUCUUGCAGGUGACUGAAUUCUCAGCAACAAGGGAAAGCUGAGAAGAUGUACAUUGUUUUGAUGUCUCAAAGCCUGCACAGCUAUGAAAAGUAGCCUCAUUGUUAAAGACAGGGAGUCACACUGCUUCCAUGAGAGCUUAUCUAGCAUUGAGGGAACUGAGAAUAUGCGAGGAAUGAAUUGAGGCAGGAGAAGCAAGAUUGCCCCAAAAUACUGUUCUCAAUAAGGAUAUCCUUAUUGCUCUGCAUAGCUUUCUACAUGUAUUAGGUUUGAAUCUUUUCUACUGAA